rnacentral:lncRNA from 1 species
UUUUUUAUAUUUUGCUUCCAGUAAACAAUUCGCCGAUCGGUUUUCCGUAUGCAGUGAACUCAGCGUGACCUUUCUCAUAAACAUCCGGUGAUCGCAAUACGCAUGGAUCUGUCAUUGAAAUAAACUAUUAUAUUACCGUACAUGUUAUACACGUGCUCAAUAUCCGUGCGUCCUGGUUAAUUGUUUACUAAAGUGACAAUCGGUAAACUACGGCUUCAAAACACAACAAGCAAUUAGCUGCCAUAGUUUCACAUCAUAACAGAUCGAGAGAUUUUUCUUUUGACGAUUACGUCAUAAAGAUGCGUUAAAAUGAUUAAAUCGUCCACAGACGACUAAGUUUAUGAUAUAUUCAUACAUUGGUUCAAUAAUUGGAUAAACAUUGAUGCUCACCAGUCACUCAUUUCAUAUGACUUUAAAUGGAAAAUGUUAGCAGUAUGUAUGAUAGUUGAAAGAGACAACACAUGAACUGGUCUCACAAUUUAUAUUGAUUUCAGUGUUUGUUACCGGC